UACGUAGGGCGCAAGCGUUGUCCGGAAUUAUUGGGCGUAAAGAGCUCGUAGGCGGUUUGUCGCGUCUGCUGUGAAAACCGAGGCUCAACCUCGGGCCUGCAGUGGGUACGGGCAGACUAGAGUGUGGUAGGGGAGACUGGAAUUCCUGGUGUAGCGGUGGAAUGCGCAGAUAUCAGGAGGAACACCAAUGGCGAAGGCAGGU
rnacentral:rRNA from 1 species